rnacentral:lncRNA from 1 species
AUGGGGAGGGCCUGGAAGGGGUGUGGGGGGGGGAGGGACAGGCCUAUAAAGCAACCGAGACCCUCCCUCUGGGCAGCCGCCCCUGGAUCCUCCCACUCCGCUGACCGGCGCUGGAGCCGCAGAACCUCUUCCGUGGGGGAUGACCAUGUUGGCGCUGGCGGCCGUGAGCGUGUCCGUCCUGCUGCUCCUGCCCCCGGCCUCCGGCUCUCCGCUGACCCUCGCCUGGGAAGCCUCGCCGGUCCCGGUUCCUGUCCCGGCCCCGUCCCGCCGUGGGUGGAGCGACUCCUCGAGUCCGGCGGGUGUCAGGGCGGGCUGGGGGCGGGAGAGGAGGCCCAACGCGCUGGACCUGUCCUUCCACCUGCUGCGGGAGCUCCUCCACCGGGCCCGGGAGGAGCAGCUGGCUCGAAAGGCGCACGGCAACCGCCGGAGGCUCCAGGCCCUGGGCUAGGACUCGCCAGGGACGCGCGCCGGGACGGGGUGGAAAGGGAUGGGAAGGGACGGGACGGCACGCACCCCAGGGAGCCAGGGAAAGGAGUCAGGAAGGGACGGGAUGGGAAGGGACGGGAUGGGAAGGGACGGGAAGCAGCCCAGGGAGCCAGGGAAGGGACGCAGCCCAGGGAGCCAGGGAAGGGACGGGACGGGACACAGCCCAGGGAGCCACGUAAGGGACGGGAAGGGAAGGGACGCAGCCCAGGGAGCCAGGGAAGGGAAGGGAUGGGAAGGGACGGGAUGGGACGCACCCCAGGGAGCCAGGGAAGGGACGGGACACGGCCCAGGGAGCCAGGAAGGGAAGGGAUGGGGGACAGCCCAGGGAGCCAGGUAAGGGACGGGAAGGGAAGGGACACAGCCCAGGGAGCCAGGUAAGGGACGGGAAGGGAAGGGACACAGCCCAGGGAGCCAGGGGAGGGAAGGGAUAGGGACGGGACGGGAUGGGACGCAGCCCAGGGAGCCAGGGAAGGGACGGGACGGGACACAGCCCAGGGAGCCACGUAAGGGACGGGAAGGGAAGGGACACAGCCCAGGGAGCCAGGGGAGGGAAGGGAUGGGACGGGAUGGGACGCACCCCAGGGAGCCAGGGAAGGGAAAGGAAGGGGCGGGACGGGAGGGGGUGGGAGAGGGUCCACCACGCAGGUCUGCGCCCCGGCCUGGGAUCUGGACGCCGGACCGCUGGACCUACAAAUGGACAAGUUUGCUCUGCGACAAGUGGCGGGCGGGGCUGGGUUGGGGUUGGGUGUUCCAGGAGGCCCGGGCUGCUGGAGGAGGAAUCUGCUUCCUUCCUUCCCGGGAGAUCUCCGGGCCUGCCGCUCUCCCCCGCGCCGCGCUCCCGGACCCGCAGGGGGUCGCAUCGACUCCCCCUCCGCUCCCUAUCUACCCCAGCCCCCCGGGCCCCGCUGAAUUACAGGCGGGAAAACGCGGAGUCCCUUCCCGUGUCGCUCCGGAGAGGGAGGGGGACGACAGAGGAAGUUGGACUGAAUCAAGUCGAAGCGGUUUAUCGAGGGAACCUGUAAAACCCGAAUCUUAAAAGGAGGGGGAAGCAAAGCAUCCGUCACAGGCCACUCCCCGGCUGUUCGACAAGCCACCAGACCCUCUCUUCCUCUUCCCGCCCCCUCCCCACGGCUGCUGGGGGCUCCCGCCUCCCUUCGGCCUCUGUCCAACUUCAGCCUCCGUCCGGCCUCGACCUCCCUCCAGCGUCGGCCUCCGUCCAACCUCAACUUCCUUCCAGCCUCGGCCUCUCUCCAGCUUCGGCCUCCGUCCAACCUCAACCUCCCUCCAGCCUCGGCCUCCCUCCAGCCUCGGCCUCCGUCCAGCCUCAACCUCCUUCCAGCCUCGGCCUCCGUCCAGCCUCAACCUCCGUCCAACCUCAACCUCCUUCCAGCCUCGGCCUCCCUCCAGCUUCGGCCUCCGUCCAACCUCCUUCCAGCCUCGGCCUCCCUCCGGCCUCAGCUUCCCUCCAGCUUCGGCCUCCGUCCAGCCUCAGUGGACCACCUCUCCCUGCAGGCCCGAGCUCCCUUCCCCUCGACUUCAGCCCCUACUUCCAGCCUCCACCUCCUUCACUGCUUCUGCCUCAGCCCGUCAGCUCCGGCGGCCUGACCCAACUCCUCUUCUUCCCACCGCCCCGUUUCUCCGGCCCUUCCUCCUCCUCCACCAUCACCGGGCCCCUCUGUCCUCAUUUAAGUCCUCACAGAGCCCACCCUCUCCAGGAAGCCUUCUUUGAUUUAGGCAAGAAAGGUUGUCCAGCUAGUCCAAGCCGCUUCUCUGCCCUUCGGGAGUAAGAAAGGGGAAAGGAAGGGGAUGAGAACAAGCUGUGGGGGGAGAGGGAGGGAGGGAAAGAGGGAAAGGGGAAGGAGAGUGGGGAGGGAAGGAGGGGGGAGAGUAGGGAAGAGGUAGGAAGGGGAAAAGAGAGGGAAAGAGGAAGAAGAGUGGGGAGAGUAGAGGAAGGGAGGGGGUGGGAAGAGAAGUUGGAAAAGAGGGACGAAGGGAAGUUGGGAGAACAGGAGGAAGAGGAGGGGAAGGAAGUUGGGAAACAGUCGUUGGAAGAGAGGCACGAGUCUUUUCUUUGUUCCACCCUUUCCACAGCUGCCCCCAAAUCUUACAAAAUGAGGAAAGAAGGCCUGACACCCCCCACUCCCAUCCCUGUGCCCAGAGAAAACCGAGUCUGUCAGAAACUUCCCUGCCCCAGCCAGGGAGGACGCCCGAGACCGCUCAAACUCAUCUUGUUUGUCUCUCUGCCUCCGUGUUCCACGCCAGAGUCCGCAUGCAGAUGAGCCAAACCUCCUCACCCCCUCCCCACUGGCCACCCCUCUCCCAGCCCCAUCCUGGAAGGGGGCCGGCCACCCAACAAGGGGCUGCCAAUAAAAUGAGUAAAACUUCAAACCAACCCGUGUGGAGCUGUGGGAAGGAGAGUGAGAGGGGCUAGAAUGGUGGCAAAAGACUCCCCGGCCUUCCCCAUCUCCAAAUCAGCACGUCAAUCAAUCAAUCAGUGGUAUUUAUUGAGCACUUACUGAUUGCCCACACUCCCAGCUCCCCUCCCCUUGCGGGUCCUGAUCCCCCCCCCCCCCCCCGACCACUUCUUAGGCGCCGUUCGGCCUGCCCACUCUCACCCGGGGCAGCUGGGGCAGUCACACCUGUGGACCCUUCAGCUUGGGGAGGUGAAGGGGGUGGGGUCGCCCCCAGGGUCCGCACCGACCUGUGAAGAUUCCCCAGGGCCCAGGAGCCUCAGCACCCAGAAGGGGAACGUGGAUGGGGAUGGAAGGGCCGGGGGAGCCAGGGGAGAGAUGGAGUCCAGAUCCGGAGCAGUUCCCAGUCCCGGGGGCAGAGAGCGGCCCUGGGAGGAGAGAGGGGGGUCAGGGAGCGGGGCCCUCCCACAGGAUGUCCGGGUGGAGAGCCGAGGGGCUAUGCCAGGGCCAGCCUGCAGCUAGGUGGGCUUACUCACCCAUCCUAACUGGCCUCUCCAGAGGGCUGAUACCUGCCCCUGGCCCUCCUCAUCCUCCCCCUCUGAGAUCCAGACCCAGGGGGUCAGGGAGGUCAGGGCCCUGGUCAGAGAGGGAGAACACUGUCCCACGGAUCCAGCCGGCCAGACUGUCGCUAUUCCCCAACCCCUUAACCCCCACACCUCCCAAGGCCCCAGGCUUCUAGCCCUGCCCCCAGAUUGACUACUCCGCUGAGCUGGGGAGGAACAGUGAGGGUGGAAGAGAUGCAGGAGGGCCAGGGCACAGGUGGUUUUGAGCCUUCCCCCAGUGCUGCUCCCUUAGGCUGGUUGGCAGGGCCUGUGUCUGAGGGGAGAGACGCCCACCCUCAUGCCACUCCCCCCCCCCCCCGCCCCCGGCUGCCCACCUGCAGUCAAUACUGAGGGAACCAGGGCAUCAGACAAAAGUGAGGGCCAACAGUGGACUCUGGGGUCACAGGCCCCCUCCCCUCGACAGGAACCUCAGGCCCCAGGCUCUAGGGAUGAAGAGGGAGAGGAAAGAGUCAGAGCGAAGGGGACCAGAAGGGGAAGGGGCUUCCUAUACCCGUCUCUACUUCCCGACCCUUCCACCAGCCACCUAUCAAGGGGUCAGUCUUGGUGCCUUUAACUUCAGCUGGGAGAAGCAUCCCCCAGUGAUCAGCCCAGUGCAGGGAGCGGGGGCUCUCCCAGAAGGUCCCAACCUGCCAGAGCUGGGAAAAGGAGAGAGAUGGACAGGGACUUGUUUGGAGCUCAGAGGGCAGGAUUAUGAAGCAGUCAGGGCCCUGACAGGCUGAGGUUCAAGUCCUUCCUCGCUCCUUGCCAACCCUUGGACGAGGUGCCACCCAAAAGGGGCUGAAUGGCUUCCCUUCCCCCACCACACCUGACCCGGCCUGAGUUACACUUACCUGGCUCGUUCCAGCUUGCUCUGCGGCAGGGUUCCCCACAUUCAGCUGGCAGGUCUCUCCGUCAGGGUCCCACGCUUUGGGACUUUUGCCCUCACCUCUCGAGGGGCUCCCUGCAGCCUCCAGCCCAAAGGGGCCCAGCAUCGGAGGUGCAUCUGCGGGCCCAGAAGUGUUAUCCUGGGCAUCGUGUCUGGCGGGCAGACUGGGCGGUUUCUGCCAGGUGUCAGGGACUCCACCAGUUUCUCCAUAGGGCUCUGGAAUCUUCUCUGCAGCAGCACUGAGCUCCUGGUUCUGAGGCAACCAAGGGGAAGGAGCUGUGUCGGGGUGUUCCUGGGAAGGCGGAGUGCGGUGGGCUCAGGGGUCUAAACUCUUGCAGGAGGCAGGCUUGGGCAGGGCUUUGGGGUCAACGUCCUCUCUGUUGGAAGCAGCCGCUAGCCCUGGAGUGGUGCCCCUAGACUGGGCAGCUGAAGGGUACCAGGAGGUUAGCCUAUCAUUACCUAGGGCCCCGGAUGCCCAAGUCAGUCCUGAAGUGGAAACCUCUGGCCUGCUGGCCCGAGGGGGACUGAGAGGGAGCAGAGCAGGGCAUGAAUGACAUUCCAAAGUCAGGAUGUUCCAGCCCAGGCCAACCCAGCCUUGCCCUCCCCUGUCCAACCUAAUCCAGCCCAGCCCCAGCCCACCAAGCCCAGACUAAUCCCUACCUGCCAAACAGCUAGCAGCCCUUUGACCUCUUCCUUGGCCCCGACUUCGAGCUCAGCCUGUGUAGGCUCCUGAGUCGUGGCUCCAGGGACGUCUGAUGCUUCAGGUGCCGGGGGUCCGGGCUCCUGCCCUGACUGGGCCUGGACUGCUCUCUCCUCCUCCUCAUCUUCCUUCUGCUGCUGCUCCUGCUCCUUCUCCAGCUGCCCCUCUCCGCCCCACGGCUCAUCAUGGGCCUCAGCCGCCUCACCUCCUUCUGCUCGGGCCUCCUCAGCCUGUGGAUCUUCCUCCACUUCCGCAGCCACCACCGUCUCCUCGGGUUCCUCCACUGCAAUGGGGAACGGUGGGGAAACGGUGAGGUCAGGAGGAGGCCCAGAGUCAGAGGAGAGGCCGGAGGGGUCUGGUGGCUGAAGAAAGGCCCAGAGGCCAGGGAGAUGGGGAACGGGACUUGGGAG